UAUUUUUAGCAUGUUUUUAGAAUCAUUUAACUUUUUGCAUUAAUCUUUUAUGGCCAUCUGUCGCUUAUCAAUUAUCAGUAGGUGACUAAAAUAAAUGUCCGCCAGGUGUCGGAGUGUCUAUUGAUUCGCGAGUGAAUUUUGGUCAUUCGUUUCCGAGACACUCAGUGAGGACGUAUUACAAUAUGGCAUUUCCAUUAGAAAGAAAUCUAGCCUGUAAUUUAAAAUCUGCCAAAUCACGUUAUCAGUUAUCACGUGUGGCCUGAAACUGAUGUCGUUGCUUGCUCUUGCUACUUGUAUCGGUUGUAUGUACAACCCAUGCAAGUCUCUACUUGACUGCAAAACAUCUGAGUAUGAGCUGCAGCCAGUUGGUGAAGGUGUACACAAACCCAAAUCUUGCAGGGGACACUGACUGAAUUGAUUGACCCGGCAAAUGGCGGUUCUUUGCAUUAUUCCAUCCGACUACUUGUCCAGUCGUUUCAACUGAAGAAUUUUUGCAGCGGAUGGUGGAAUAUACGCGUAGAAUAUAAAUUACAAAGUAUUAGGUCUGGAAGAAGAAAAGGUUGAGGCAGAACCCACUUCCAAAGGAGAAGAAACGAACUGAGCUUUUCUCGGUUAGCCUGUGCCGUUUCCCCUGACCAAACUUCUUCGAUUCUUCUCUAUGCGCACCUCUGCGUGGAUCUUGACGUCCAGAUAGAAGAUGCCGUUCGACUCCUUCAGCAAGUUGAAACGCUGCACGAUCAUCGACUAAUGGAAAAAUGCAUUCAGAAAUUAAACCAGAAAAAGUCGCUAGUCACAAAAAAAAAGUUAUCCACCUUCGAUCAUCAUCCGUUAAAUACGCGGUUGGACUUGUUAUGAUAUACCAACAUAGCGCUUGUAAGCCACCGUUACUCUGUGUAAUCGACUCCUGGACACACCAUGAUCCACAGAGAAUAUUUUGUAACGUCCUUUUCGACGAUGGGGGAUUCUUCCUUCGUUGCUGAAGCCAUCCGAAUAUCGGGCUUUCUUUUGAACGUUUCAACGGCCGCCGAUAAUCCAAUGCUGAGAUGAUGACCCUCUUCCCAGAGGAUGAAGCCUUUGCUCUUUCCCUGGUCGGAUAAAAUUAUACGUAUUAUCGUAUCGUAUUAUGUAAUUGUCUGCCUUUUACGUACAUUAGCUGCUAAAUAGUUUCAUCAAAUUUUACGAGAAAUCAAAAAAUUAUUUAGGCCAUUCAGGUUGUUUUUCUUAAUUCAACCAAUGUACAACUGUAUGUAAAAUUGUAAAUCAGGUUCUUGUUUCACCUUUUCAUUCAUCAUUUUGUAGCUUAAAUCUUGUGUUAUUUUGCAAACAAUUUUAACUUUCACUUUACUUAAAAAUUCCAGACAGAACUCCCUCUUACCUCUGGGUAUCAAUCUGGGUCGCCUCUGACCCCAAUUAAGAAGUAAAGGCCCCCUGUGUAAGAAAGGUAGGCAAAAGGAAGGAAUCCAACAUAGAAGACUUUAACGUAAACAGAAAUCUAAAAGAUUUAUUUUAUAACAACUUACAAGUGAUUUUUUUGCUACAAAAUAGCACUUAUAAACCAAUAAAAUCAGACAAGGAAGAGCAUUCACAAAGACAAAUAAGUGGAAGAACACAACUAAUUAAAUGAGACACAACACCCGUUAUUUUAUUAGGUGACAUGUUGCUUUCUCACCCUCGAUAAUAACAGCGUCAUUAUUUUUUGACGCAGAAAAAUUUGUUGAUCUAGUUAGUAGUUGUCAAUGAAAUCACUCCUAUAUCAUGUAUCAGGUUCAGGUGUCUUAAUCUUACUGCAUGGAGCCAUGGAUGACAUUGGAAACAGGAGAUUUGACAUGGUGGUCAAGUUAACAAACAACACAUUGAAUUGUGGCACCACAGACAGUAACAGCUUCAAGCACACCUUUCACCACCUCCAUUAACAGCCUGAGCAUCAAUGGCCAUUGAAACCUACAGAGAAAGAUUCAUCACAAGGCAAAGUGCAGAAUAAUAGAAAUAAAGUGAAAAGUUAAAAAAAGUGACACGAAAAGGUAGCAGUAUACGAUAUUUCGUCAAGAAUCUGGAAUCACUAACAGUUGCCAUAGACAAGGCACAUCGUCAGAAGAAUCAAGAAUAUCAACUGUGAACUGUCAAUAAGCUGCCUUCUCGGCUUCUCCUCAUUAAACCUUGGGGAUUUCGUCUGUUGUGAUGUGUGAUGCUGCGGUGCUUUUUGGUGUUUUUGGUGAAGACGAGAUGUAAAUUUGGAGAGGGGAAUAUUACGAGGAAACGUGAAAGGGUCGUGGCCGUCGUGCAGCCUACCGUCAACUAUUUGUUCAAAAUCAUUGUAUUCUACU